rnacentral:lncRNA from 1 species
AUAAGUUGAAGGGGCAAAUAGACAUUUUAGCCGGGGGUUAAAAUGAGAAAGAAAGAAAAUUAGGGUUAAGGGGAGAGAGAGAUGUUAUAAAAAGAAAAGAGGAGAGGAAAGAAGAGGAAAUGAGGCGCCAGAGGCCGAGCGCUUACCUCGGGAGGAAAGGGGUGGCGUGGUAUUCCACUGAGAGGGGAUUUUGUUGUGGCGCACGAUGGUGCGACUGGCGCACAUCAAGUUAGGGCUUCCAUGGCCGCUUUGCUGCUCUAGUCUUUGCAGCUAAAGUGAGGGAUUUUGCCCUACAUUCUUCUUCUUUUUUUGCUUGUUUUUUUGUUUUCUCUUCUACUUCCUCAAUCUUACAAAUUGGUUUACCUUUGAGUAUUUUAAUUUUUAAUUUGGAGGAAAUAUUUGAACGAAAGUUUAGAUAGUAUCACAAAUUAUACAAGCUAGAUUAUGUAUAAAUUGCUUGCUAAAAUUCUUUGGUUGCUCCUAAUGAAUUCAAACCCUAUAUUAAGGCUUUAUUUUUAAAAUCUUCAGUUGAGAUAGAAGAGGAAUCAUAAAUUUUAUUGUAAAAAUAAAUAAAUAAAUAAAUAAAUAAUAUGGAAGAAUGACGUCCCGUGAAUUAGUAGGGAAGGAUGAUUUUAACAGCAAAAAUUAAAAGAAAAAAAACAGAAGAAGAAACUCUUGGAUACCUGCUCAUCUUACGGAUGAAACAGAUAUGACAUUAGCUUAACUUUUGAGACUGUUUGUCAGAUGGCUUCAACCAAGCUGCUCGCUUCUAGCCUGGUUCGAAAAAGAGUAUAAUUAUGUAAUAAGAAGAAGAGUAUAAUUAUGAAAUAAGGGUCAAAAUAGGCUUUUUUGUCAUUUUAAUUUAAAAUUAAUUCUUUUAGUUUAAUUUAACUUUUUUAUAAGAAUUAAAUAAUUAGCUAUUAACAAUAUUACUAUAAAAAUUAUAAAUUUUUAUUAAAUAUUAAUAUUUUUUAUUUUAUUUUAUAUUUUAAAAAAGAGUGGCUUUUAGAGAAUUUUUUUAUAUUUUAAACAUCAUAAUUCUUAUGAUAAAAAGUAUUUUAAAAAUAUUCAUAUAUAAAUAUUUUAUCUAAAUUUAGUAUAUUUUUAUUUUUUUUAUUUUUAUUUUUAUAAAUAUUAAUAUUAUAUUUUUUAUUAAUAAAAAAAUAAAAAUUUUAAAUAUUGUCUAUCAAAUAUAUAAAUUUUGUUAAAAAUAUUCAUAUAUAAAUAUUUUAUCUAAAUUUAGUAUUUUUUUAUUUUUUUUAUUUUUAUUUUUAUAAAUAUUAAUAUUAUAUUUUUAUUAAUAAAAAAAUAAAAAUUUUAAAUAUUGUCUAUCAAAUAUAUAAAUUUUGUUAAAAAUAUUCAUAUAUAAAUAUUUUAUCUAAAUUUAGUAUAUUUUUAUUUUUUUUAUUUUUAUUUUUAUAAAUAUUAAUAUUAUAUUUUUUAUUAAUAAAAAAAUAGAAAUUUUAAAUAUUGUCUAUCAAAUAUAUAAAUUUUUUUUUAUAUUUAUUAAAUAUAAAAUAGAUAGUAAAGUUUAGAUAGCUAAAUGACUAUUUUAUAUUUAAAAAAUAAAAAUAUAUUAUAAUAUUAUCUAAUUUAAAAAAAAUGAAAUAAAAAAUUUAAGGUAUAUAAAAAAUUAAUUAAAGAUAGUCUUAUUUUCUUAUGUAAAAAUAUUAAAGAUUUUGAAUUAAAAAUGGCUCAAAAAUAUCAAACAGACUUAUUUAACUCCACAUGCAAAGCUUAAGAGUCUAUUUAAACCAUAUUCCUGUAAUUAUCACUAUCAAUGUUGCAUUUGGGAUAAAAGGCUAUGUUAUGACUGCAAUUAUUUAUAUUAGCUGCAUUUAACCCUCAUGAAAGAUUUCUACAAAUCUUUCACCUCAAGUUGGAUGCCUACUUGCAGAAUUUUCCAUUCAUCCCUAGAAUUUGCACUAUGAGAAAAAGACAGGCCGGCCAUGUACAAAAUGAUACAGAAAGUGUGAACAAUGUGUGCUGCAUCAUAUUGUUAAACAAAUAUCCUUUCGUUUUCCUUUUUCAUUUUUUGUGUUUUGGGGAUGGCGGUGGGUUUGGCACCUCUGAGACUUGAUCUUCAUUUUCUAUUUGAUCAGUCCGUUAUACAUUACAAAUAUAAGAACUUUCUUUUUUCUUUUUUGAGCACCUAAUACAAUGGACACAAAAUCAGAGGAGGUUCUGAACCUAAAGGCAGGCAGUUGCAGUAUCAAUGUCAGCAAGAAGCAUCAGGGCCAACUAGCAACCCAUGUCCCGAGUUAGCUAGCAAGUCUGCAUGAGCAUUGCCUUCCAGUCUUCCAUACCAGAAUCUAUGCGCCUUACUUGUCUGCAAUAACAAGAAAUACCAGCAUGUUUUACAUUAGAGAAACUUUCCACAUGCUCUGUCUACAUGUUUCAAUCUUUCUUUUCUUAGCAGGCACAUACAAAGAAAUUCCAAGUUAUCUUCCUGUACCUCUAUUUAUCCUUGAUCUUCGAGUUGCUUGGCGUAUUUGACUUUCAUUCCUUUGCAGGAGCUCAUCAAAUUUAUAUGCCUGAGAUAACAGCGGUCCAGAAAAUUCAACCUUCUCCCUUUCUUUAUCGUCUUCCUAACAAAUCAAAGAUGAGGUGACUAAGUACCAGAACAUCCAGAAGAAAACAACUAAAGGAAAGCUGGAGUUUUGUGAAGAACAAUUGUUGAUAAAAGACUUUUUAGGUUAUGAUGUACUACACUUACCGC